UACGAGCGGCCCAAACGUUAUUCGGAAUUACUGGGCUUAAAGGGUGCGUAGGCGGUGGAGUAAGUCGGAUGUGAAAUACCAUAGCUUAACUAUGGAACUGCACUCGAUACUACUUUGCUAGAGUAAGACAGAGGUGAGUGGAACUGAGGGUGGAGCGGUGAAAUGCGUUGAUAUCCUCAGGAACACCGGUGGCGAAGGCGACUCACUGGGUCUUUACUGACGCUGAUGCACGAAAGCUAGGGUAGCAAACGGG
rnacentral:rRNA from 1 species